GUUUUACUCACCACCAUUAGCCUCUGAUAGGCCCAGUUGACCUGAAACUGUGUUAAACAGAAGUCGGAAGCGAAGCGCCGAGGAUCAGAUUCUGAUUUUAAACAGGCCGGUGAUUUUUUUUUUUUUUUUUUUUCAUUCUGUAAGCAAAGUUGCAGAGUGCACAGUUUGCCCAUUUCUUAGUAUUGUGGCCAAAUCUUUCCUUUGAAAUACUCUUUGGGAAAAUUGCUCUACUCAGUCACAUCUUAAGAUAUUUGUAUCACCUCUGCUCAGAGAUAAUGAAGUCACCCAACGAUGGGGUGACUAACACCUUCGUUUGUUUAGGACUAUUAAGUUAAUGCUGUGGCCACACACAAUUCCAUGCUUAGCAGACACGCUUUAAUCCUGAAGUGCUAAUCGGGAUCUCCUUUGUUGCUGUUAGUUCUUUGGGCUGGCAUUAUUUCAGUAAACAUGAAGAUUUAUGUCUUGUUAUGACCACUCCUUCACACUGUUUCUGUGUCUGAGGCACGUUCAGGCACAGCUUCUUUUUCUUACGAUUGCACUCAUAUAUAUGCACAUGUAGAUCACAUAACUCCAUGAGCCCUGGUUUGUUUAUUUGUUUAUUUUAAAUGAGAUAUUUAUUCGUUUUCUUAAAUCAAUGAACAUUUGAACACUCUCCAAGAUAGGUGCACAGCAGGGAAUGAAGUGGUCUGAUGCAGAUAAAGAUACGUGGACGCUGGGCUUGCCUGUCCUCCACUAGAAGCUUAAACUCAGAAGCAUGUACAACAUAGAUGACUGUCAUUUAGAUGCUAUGGAUAUUAAUAUGAAGAAGAAGGGAGUGUUUCAGUCUUUGAGGUCAGGGAAGACUUUAGGAGGAGGUAACGUUUGAUUGGAGAUUUGAGGAAUGGGUAGAAUUUGGAGAAAGGAAGAGCAUGCCUGGCAGAAGAAAGAGUUAUGGAGAGGGCCAACUAAGGACGCUGUUGGCUUUGAGCAUGAAGUGUGAAGUCAUAGAGGUAGAGGGACAGGUUGGUGAGUUUCAGAUGAUGCUCUUCGAUAAUAGGCCAGGGAAUUUGGAUUUUAGUUGCUUUAAAUUAAAAUUUAAGCAAAAGCAAGACAAAUGCUUUAUAAACCUUUUUAUUAUGUAGUUGUUUUCUUACUGCUCCCAGACCAGGGUUUAGGGUGACUUGUUUUUUAUUAGCAUAUCUAACCUGGAAAAGGAGGAAGAAUGGAUAAUAAGCAGAAGUCAACCCAAGUUCAUGUGCCCUUAUGACUGCUCUUUUUUUUCCUCUUCGCUCAAAAGUGUUCCAUUGGUGGAAUUUUCUUUCUACCAUGAUAGGGCAGUGUUAUACUCUUCUGCCUCUAGGAAGAUGAGAGAGCAAGUAUUCACAAAGCCCAGUGACCUUCAUCUAGUAUUUCCUUUAGUUUUGUGUUGGGCUGACCCUUGAACCUUGGAGUUUUCAUAAUUAGUGAGUUGAAAUGUUUUCAAAUUAUAUCCUAGAAAUCACCCUUAUCCCCUCUACCCAGAGAUAGUUAUUGUUAUGAAGUAGUUUUGUUUAGUGCCUUAGAUUUUUGAGAGUUUGAAAGCUUUUCUUUAGGGACUCAGGGUGUGUGGAUUUGUCCAUGCCCUAGUGUUUUCAGAGUUAAGAAUAUUACCUGAGUCUUCUUGCUGUUAGGAAGGAGGAGGGCAGGAUGAAGGAGAUGAGUAUUUGCAGUCUCUGCAUUUUUUUACUCUUGAUUGGCACUCAGUGACUCAGCACAUUUUCUCAACAACCAGUGACUGGAGGAGUAGGAACACCUGCUCUGGGCGGCCUCCUCUCCCCCCUCCAUCCAUAAAGCCUCAUAGAGCUCAGUGUGUAUGAUACGGGUAUGGGGCCUGGUGCCAGGUGCUGGCCACCAAUAGCAGGCCAGAGCUCUCUGCUAGAGAUGACAACAGUGCUGCUAUUGGUGCAGCACCCAAGUGGCUCUGCUGGGUGGUGACUGAACCUGCAGCGCACGGGUCUCCUGAGGUGGCCUGGAUCAUGAGCUCCUUUACGCUGUCUGCAGCAGGGCUGCUGCUGCCUUGCUAGGAAAUGCUGCCUAAGGGGAAUAGUAAAUAUAGCCUGUUGGCGUGAGUAGUUAAAGGAGCUUCUGUUAAAGAGGAACAAAAGUAUUAGAACUAGCUUCCUGUUUAUUUUUUGUUUGUUUUGUUUUUAAAUAUGUUUUAAUUGAUUUCAGAGACAGGAAGGGAGAGGAAGGGGACAGAAAUAUUAAUGAUGAGAA